GCUUAACGCGAAGAACCUUACCAAGGCUUGACAUGCAUCUCUAAGCGCGUGAAAGCGCGUGACCCUUCGGGGAAUUUGCACAGGUGCUGCAUGGCCGUCGUCAGCUCGUGUCGUGAGAUGUUGGGUUAAGUCCCGCAACGAGCGCAACCCCUGUGAUUAGUUGCCAGCGGAUAAUGCCGGGGACUCUAGUCAGACUGCCCAGAUCAACUGGGAGGAAGGUGGGGACGACGUCAGGUCAGUAUGGCCCUUACGCCUUGGGCUGCACACGUACUACAAUGCCCAGUACAAUGAGAACCGAGAUCGCGAGGUGGAGGAAAUCUGCAAAACUGGGCCCAGUUCGGAUUGGAGGCUGCAACUCGCCUCCAUGAAGCCGGAAUCGCUAGUAAUGCUGCAUCAGCUACGGCAGCGUGAAUACGUUCCCGGGUCUUGUACACACC
rnacentral:rRNA from 1 species